GCGUUGAUGGUGCAGUGGUAGCCUUGUCGCUCUGCUUUCUCUGCCCGGCCGGCGGGGGAUCCUUCGCGACAACUCAGGUUCAAUUCCUGGUUGACGCC